GGAUGCGAUCAUACCAGCACUAAUGCACUGGAUCCCAUCAGAACUCCGAAGUUAAGCGUGCUUGGCGAGAGUAGUACUAGGAUGUGUGACCUCCUGGGAAGUCCUCGUGUUGCAUUCC
rnacentral:rRNA from 2 species